UCAAGUGAAGAACGCCACAGUGUUUUUUUUUUUACAUUUUACCUCAUUGUUGUUAAAUUAAUUUAUCAAUUGUUGUCAAAAAUGCUCAUUAGAUGCAAAGAUUUCACUAAAUUAAUAAUUUUCAAGAACCGAUUCUCUUCAUUUCAGCUUUUAUCUUUGUGACAAAAAGCUGCAAUGAACAUGAAUCAAUUUUACAAAUUUUUUUUUACAAAAUUUUCAUAUUUAACGUAAAGUUUUUCUAGUUUGGCAUUAUAAUAUCAUUUGUUUUUGAUAAAAUUGUAAGAAAUAUCAAAAAAUUUUACUAAAAUUAUUAUCUCAGUAUAUUCAACAUUUGAGGUUAGGUGAUGAAAAUGAUCUUGGGCGUCAAUUUGAGUUGCAAAAAGUGUUAGCUACCGCGUUCUAUAACCGAAUAAUUAGGUCAGUAAAAAGUAUUAAAAGUAUGUUUAUUUACAGUAAAUAAUAAAAAAUCAGUGUUUUGAAAAUGUGUUUAUAUUAAUCGCGAUCUAAAACCGAAAAAUUAGGACAGUAAAAAGUAAAAAAAAAAAUUUAUUAUUUUAACAGUGAAUAAUGGAAAUAAUAUAUAUUCAAAAAAAUCUACGCAUUAUAUCAAUUAAUUUUGGAAAAAGGUUAUAAGGUUGGAAAAAAAUACUCAACUCCUAUUUCGAAAUUUGAUUCAAAAUCCGUAUAAUUCUUCGAUAGAACAUAAUUUCCAGAUUUCACCAUGAAUUCUUUGAAACCAUCGACAUCUGAUAAUUCUUUGGAAUAAAAUUUGACAAUAAUUGUGGCUUUACCGG